CCUACGGGAGGCAGCAGUGAGGAAUAUUGGUCAAUGGGCUUGCGCCUGAACCAGCCAAGUCGCGUGAAGGAAGACUGCCCUAUGGGUUGUAAACCUCUUUUGUCAGGGAGCAAUUGGCGCUACGUGUGGGGUUAUCGAGAGUACCUGAAGAAAAAGCAUCGGCUAACUCCGUGCCAGCAGCCGCGGUAAUACGGAGGAUGCGAGCGUUAUCCGGAUUUAUUGGGUUUAAAGGGUGCGUAGGCGGAAUGCCAAGUCAGCGGUAAAAUUGCGGGGCUCAACCUCGCUCUGCCGUUGAAACUGGUGUUCUUGAGUGGGCGAGAAGUAUGCGGAAUGCGUGGUGUAGCGGUGAAAUGCAUAGAUAUCACGCAGAACUCCGAUUGCGAAGGCAGCAUACCGGCGCCCAACUGACGCUGAAGCACGAAAGCGUGGGUAUCGAACAGGAUUAGAUACCCUUGUAGUC
rnacentral:rRNA from 1 species